CCAAGUCCAGAGGUCGGAUGGUCAUCUAAGGUGCUGUUAGUCUUGCUCUCCAAAUGACUCUCAUGAAUGUGAACCUUGAUCAAACGUACAGAAUAUUUGAGCAUAUUUGAGCAGAUAGUUUAUCCGGUAUUUUUGGAAAAAAGAGUGAUAUGUCAGCAUAGUCAUGAUAUACGACAAUGAUAAUUUGAAGAACCGUUUAAAGUAUUUUGAUAUUGCAGCAGAAGGCAGACUUUGAAGAGUUCAUGCUGCACAGAAAGAUGAUGAAAUGCUACCCAUUGAAUCCAUCGUUGCUCCACUGGAGGCGAAGCUUAAGCUUGCUGCAGGAGGUAUACUUCUGUUCUGCAAUAUGACCCCUUUAAUUUGUUUGUACAUGGGAGGUAUAGAGUGUUCAAUGUGUAUUUGGUUUCCAUAUUGUUUAUGGAUCUAUCGACUCAUUUAUUACAUGAAUCAAUAAUUAUAACGAGUUAAAUUUUUUUU